UAAAUGAAUGCAUGUUGCAAAUCAGGAAUUGGGGUACACGGAUCCGGGACCCCGGAAUGGGAUGGUGAGGCUGUGCUCCACAAACGAGCGUGGAGAAUUACUGCGACGUUGUUCGCUGCCGGACCAACGAGGAGCGGCUGUCGGUUGAGAGCACCAAGCGGGGUAUCCGCAGUGCGGCCGCCUGCUACGUGUGUCGGGUCAGCGGGCGGCUGUGGGACCGGCACCGGGACAGCGGGCGGCUGGCGGUGGUGGACGAGCAGCGGCGUGGAGACAUCAUCAGCCGCCACCACUCCCGGGACCUGAUCGGCACCAAUGUCAGCAGUGGCUACUGGUGGAGGGGAAGGAUCUUUCAUCACUGAAGAGACAUGCCCCUGAAGAAUGCAGGUCCAGUUCUGGUGGUUUGAAACAUAGGCAAAUAAGUACUACGUCUGGGAAACUGAGCCACAGCCUUCAAAAGCCUAAGAUGCACGAACUGAACCAUGGUGGGAGCAAACCACGUUAAUACAUGAUCUGUAACAAGUCUUUCGCUGACAUGCACAUCUUGAAGCUUCACAUGUAAUAUCAACAAGGUUCAGAGGACUAUCAUUGAAUUUUGUGGAAAAGAAUAUUUCAAUGCCAGCUCAUUGUGGAACCACAAACUUGUUCAUUCAGAUGAGCUGUGGCAUUACUGCCUAUUGUGUGGAAAGAGAUUUAAAAUGCGUUCAGGGUAUACCCGUCAUAAGAAAAAACAUCACUUGAAAAAAGAGGAGAACUUCCCCUUUAAUGAGUGCAAUACAUGUGGUAAAGAGUUUUGUAACUGCAAACAGACGAAAAGCACAAUGUGAAGUCAGACCGCGAAUCAGUCAAAGAGCAGAGUGCAUUUGUGAGCACCCUAACAAGGACUUUUUCAUUUAGGUACUUCAUUGGGAUUUUAAUCAUUCUACCAUUCGUGUUGGCGGCUUUUGGUUCCCAAGACAUUAAGAGCUGGAUCUGGAUCCUUAAAUGUCUCUCUCCUCUUUUUAAGAUGUUUCUUUAACGGUUGCCUCUCUGACAGGUUUUUGGUUGUCUGUCCUUGUAUUUCUUUGUGACUCAAAUCAUCAUCAUGUUCCUAUGAAUGCCUUUAUGUUUGACCAUGUUGAAGGUAUUACAUGAAUUCAAAUUGUUAGUUGCUUCAUGGUAAAUGAUAAACUUCUAUCUUGAUUAAACACAACAUGUACGCUUUUUUUAGUCUAUCAUUUCCAGAAUGUACAUGAAUGAAUGAAUUUCAAUUCUGUGGAAAUGCAUCCUGUUUGAACUGUUUGUUACAAUCUUGUUAACUUGCAUUUUCUUUCAAAGACUUGAGACUCCAAGACCCUUUUGCUCCUCUACUAUGUUCAGACUUUCAAUUUUUGAGAGAGCACGUGUUCCUCCCAUUAAGCACACAACUUUGCACUUCUCUAUAUGGAAUUUAAUUUGCCAGGUGCAUAGUCAUUCAUAAAGCUUUUUGUAUGCUGUUGAAGUCCUCUUUUUGUAUUAAAUAUACCCCUAGAAUUGGGUUUCAUCUGCAUAUUUGAAAUAGUCUUCAUGAGUCUAUGAUUUCCAGCUCAAAAAUAAUUUAUGGGAAUGGUGAAGAGUGGCAGAAUCAAACAUCAUAUCUCACAUUAUUGCUAAUCCAGAUACCUACCAUCAUCCCUAUACUCUUCUGCAAGCAGCUUGCUGUCCAUUCUACACUUUGUCCAUUGUCUCUGUGUGUUCUGAGACGAUCUCAGCAAAUAAUGAUGGCCUUGUAUAGUUUUUGAAAUGACAUCAUCUUUUACAUCAGCAUGGCUUUGUGCAGGUCAAGUCGUGCUUUACUAACUUCAUUGAGUGAUGAGGUGACAAGGGUGAUUGAUGAAGGUAGAACUGUAGAUGUUGUCUACAUGGAUUUUAGUAAGGCGUUUGACAAGGUCUCUCAUGGGAGGCUCAUCCAGAAGAUUAAGAUGCAUAGGAUCCACGGUGAAUUGGCUGUUUGGAUUCAGAACUGGCUUGCCCAUAGAAGACAGAGGGUAGUGGUCAAGGGGACUUAUUCUAGCUGGAGGUCUGUGACUAGUGGUGUUCCUCAGGGAUCCGUACUAGGAUCUCUGCUGUUUGUGAUUUAUAUAAAUGACCUGGAUGAAAAUGUACAUGGGUGGGCUCGUAAAUUUGCAGAUGAUACGAAGAAUGGUGUGGAUAGCGUAGAAGACUGGCAAAGGAUACAGCAGGAUAUAGAUCAGUUGCAGAUAUGGGCGGAGAAAUGGCAGGUGGAGUUCAACCCGACCAAAUGUGAGGUGUUGCACCUUGGCAGAUCAAAUGUAAAGAGACAGUACACUGUUAAUGACAAGACCCUUAACAGUGUUGAUAAGCAAAGGGAUCUUGGGGUCCAAGUUCAUAGCUCCCUGUAAGUGGCUACACAGGUUGAUAGGUAUCUUUUCCCCAGGUUUGAAAUGUCCAAUAUCAGAGGACAUGCACUUAAGGUGAUAGGCGGUAAGUUCAAAGGAGAUGUGCAAGGCAAGUUUUUUUUUUACACAGAGUGGUGGGUGCCUGGAAUGUGCUGCCUGGGGUGGUGGUGGAGGCAAAUACGAUAGGGGCCAUUCAAGAAGCUCUUAGAUAGGCACAUGAAUGUGAGGGAAAUGGUAGGAUAUGGACAUUGUGUCGGCAGAAGGGAUUAGUUGGGCAUUUUAUUACUAAUGUAAUUGGUUUGGCACAACAUUGUGGGCCGAAGGGCCUGUUCCUGUGCUGUACUGUUCUAUGUAUCUUUAACUGAGCCAAAAAUGACGGUUUUUGUUAGGCUGGGAGUAGAUGCAAAAAUUAUCAGUUCAUGUUUUUGUUUAUGAUAUGUGGCAAUUAACCAGUAAUAACAAAGUGUAUGCUUUUCUUGUACUUGUGUUUUAACAAUGAUGUGUAUUUUGAACUUUUUUUCUACCUGUAAUUUGUAUGACAAAUAGUUUUACAUUUUAAAAUAAAAAAAGGAAUGACUGCA